GUGCUCACUUCGGCAGCACAUAUACUAAAAUUGGAAUGAUGCAGAGAACAUUAGCAUAGCCUCUCUGCAAGGAUGACGUGCAAAUUGGUGAAGUGUUCCAUAUUUUU